rnacentral:rRNA from 1 species
AGCUCGUGUCGUGAGAUGUUCGGUUAAGUCCGCUAACGAGCGCAACCCUUCGCUGUGUGUUACAAGUGUCACACGGAACUGCCGGUCAUAAACCGGAGGAAGUGGGAUGACGUCAAGUCAGCAUGGCCUUUAUAUCCUGGGCUACACACACGCUACAAUGGGAAGGGACAAUAGGUUGCGAAGCCGCGAGGUGGAGCCAAUCCAGCAAAACUUCCCUCAGUUCAGAUUGCAGGCUGCAACUCGCCUGCAUGAAGUUGGAGUUGCUAGUAAACGCAGGUCAGCCAUACUGCGUUGAAUACGUUCCCGGGGCUU